UGCAGUAGAACUGCUCCCCUGGGAGUGCUUGAUCUUACCUGAUCUCAAAAGCUAAGCAGGUGUGGUUAGUAUUGGGAUGGCACUCUGUCUGGGAAUACUAGGUGCUGUAA
rnacentral:rRNA from 1 species